GCGCUGGUGGUGUAGCGGUAUCAUUGUACAAUCCCACGAUACACACCCGGGUUCAACUCCCGGCUCGCGCA
rnacentral:tRNA from 1 species